rfam:Gossypium arboreum cultivar AKA8401 contig_18485_3, whole genome shotgun sequence.
UGUUAAAAAUUUCAUCCCUUUAUACUGUUAAGAACUGAUAUGGCUGACAAAAUAACUAGAUAGUGAUACAUGAUGUGUUGGAUAUACCUUAUAUUGACUUAUAUGGAUUAAUUUUUAACAGUAAAAAUGAAUGAAACUUUUAAUA